rnacentral:rRNA from 1 species
AACGAACGCUGGCGGCGGGCCUAACACAUGCAAGUCGAACGCUGUAGCAAUACAGAGUGGCAGACGGGUGAGUAACGCGUGGGAACCUUCCCAAUGGUGCGGAAUAGCUCAGGGAAACUUGAGGUAAUACCGCAUAAGCCCUUAGGGGGAAAGAUUUAUCGCCAUUGGAUGGGCCCGCGUCGGAUUAGCUAGUUGGUGAGGUAAUGGCUCACCAAGGCAACGAUCCGUAGCUGGUUUGAGAGAAUGACCAGCCACACUGGGACUGAGACACGGCCCAGACUCCUACGGGAGGCAGCAGUGGGGAAUCUUGGACAAUGGGCGCAAGCCUGAUCCAGCCAUGCCGCGUGAGUGACGAAGGCCUUAGGGUUGUAAAGCUCUUUUGCCGGGGACGAUAAUGACGGUACCCGGAGAAUAAGUCCCGGCUAACUUCGUGCCAGCAGCCGCCGUAAAAC